rnacentral:lncRNA from 1 species
UUUAAGGUUAUCAUCAAUUGAGCUUUCACUCGAGUGGUCUUCUUUUGUUCUAAGUGGCAAAACCUUCUUGUUCUUUGGAAGGUUAUUCUUAAGUUCAUCAUAUAAUCACCGAUAAUUUCUCCCUUAACAUAUAAUUAAUUACUAUUGUUAGGAUCGGAGCGGCACUAAGAGGGGGGGUGAAUUAGUGCAGCGGAUUAAAACGUU